GACUUUCUGAAUCCGCGCCGGGGUUUAGUCAGAUACUAGGCCAUCAGUACUGACGAGACUUCCAUGAUAAGUGAAGCG
rnacentral:pre_miRNA from 1 species